rnacentral:rRNA from 1 species
UAGUCCACGCCGUAAACGAUGGUCACUAGUUGUUGGGGUCUUGUACCUCAGUGAUUAAGAGAAAUUGAUAAGUGACCCACCUGGGGAGUACGAUCGCAAGAUUGAAACUCAAAGGAAUUGACGGGGGCCCGCACAAGCGGUGGAGCAUGUGGUUUAAUUCGAUGAUACGCGAGGAACCUUACCAGGGCUUAAAUGUAAGUUGCAUGAUUUAGAGAUAGAUCUUUCUUCGGACUACUUACAAGGUGCUGCAUGGUUGUCGUCAGCUCGUGCCGUGAGGUGUCAGGUUAAGUCCUAUAACGAGCGCAACCCCUACCGUUAGUUGCCAGCAUGUUAUGAUGGGGACUCUAGCGGGACUGCCGGUGCAAACCGAGAGGAAGGUGGGGAUGACGUCGAGUCCUCAUGGCCCUUACGGGUUGGGCGUACACACGUGCUACAAUGGCGGUGACAAUGGGCAGCGAGAUCGCGAGGUCGAGGCCAAUCCCCAAAAACCGUACCUACCACGUUCGGAUUAGUCACG